GGAUGAAAGGGAGCUCAACGGAGUAGUUAAGAGCAGCGAAAAGAAUAGUUACUGGCGGUCCUACUACCCUCCUAGAGGGACAUGUGAGAAGAAUGAAUCCACACAAAAGCCUCUUUACUCUUUUGAAUGAGCCAUUUUGCACACCACUGUCUGAAAAAGGAGGCUUCUUUCCUUUCUACCCACACUAAUGGGAUAAGGCAAGCAAACGUGUAGACUAUAGGAGUAAACUUAUGUGUUCCAAUUUUAUUGAUGGAGAGCUGGUUUAAUAGUCAGCAGAAAAGAGAAUUUAGGAGUAAAAGGAGUUUAUCAAACCCCUUUGAAUAGCAGGCACUAGAGGACGU
rnacentral:rRNA from 1 species